rnacentral:rRNA from 1 species
GAUCCUGGCUCAGGAUGAACGCUGGCGGCGUGCCUAACACAUGCAAGUCGAACGAAGCGAUUUAACGGAAGUUUUCGGAUGGAAGUUGAAUUGACUGAGUGGCGGACGGGUGAGUAACGCGUGGGUAACCUGCCUUGUACUGGGGGACAACAGUUAGAAAUGACUGCUAAUACCGCAUAAGCGCACAGUAUCGCAUGAUACGGUGUGAAAAACUCCGGUGGUACAAGAUGGACCCGCGUCGGAUUAG